UUAACUGUAAAUUCAUUUUACUGGAGUACUAUGAAUAGUAUUUAAAACUCAAAGGGCUUGGCGGUGCUUUAGACUUUUUAGGGGAACCUGUCUCAUAAUCGACACUCCGCGAAUUAACCUUGCCUAUGUUCAGUAUGUAUACCGUCGUCGUCAGGUAACUUUUAAAAACAUCGAAGUUAGCGAGCUCAGACGUCAGAUCAAGGUGCAGCUUAUAAAGAGGUGUGGAUGGGUUACAAUUAAAAUUUAUAACUACGGAGGCAGACUUGGGAAGGCGGACUUAAAAGUAAAAAUUAGUAUUUAGAUUUUUUGAAUUGAGCUCUGAGGCG
rnacentral:rRNA from 1 species